rnacentral:rRNA from 1 species
GAUGAACGCUGGCGGCGUGCCUAAUACAUGCAAGUCGAGCGAACGGACGAGAAGCUUGCUUCUCUGAUGUUAGCGGCGGACGGGUGAGUAACACGUGGAUAACCUACCUAUAAGACUGGGAUAACUUCGGGAAACCGGAGCUAAUACCGGAUAAUAUUUUGAACCGCAUGGUUCAAAAGUGAAAGACGGUCUUGCUGUCACUUAUAGAUGGAUCCGCGCUGCAUUAGCUAGUUGGUAAGGUAACGGCUUACCAAGGCAACGAUGCAUAGCCGACCUGAGAGGGUGAUCGGCCACACUGGAACUGAGCCACGGUCCAGACUCCUACGGGAGGCAGCAGUAGGGAAUCUUCCGCAGUGGGCGAAAGCCUGACGGAGCAACGCCGCGUGAGUGUUGAAGGUCUUCGGAUCGUAAAACUCUGUUAUUAGGGAAGAACAUAUGUGUAAGUAACUGUGCACAUCUUGACGGUACCUAAUCAGAAAGCCACGGCUAACUACGUG